rnacentral:lncRNA from 1 species
CCGACUGACAGCACUUCCUGUUCUAAUUCUUGCUGUUUUUGCUGUAAAUGCUGGUGAAGAUUUAGUAUGGCAGCCUUCAAGUCCACCACCAGGUCUUCUUUCUUCUGAUUCAAGCUCAGAAUCUGCUUUUCCAUACCUUCGAUUUCUCCCUAUGCAGAAAGAAUGUUUGCAUUGGUUUGGGACAUCUGAUGCCUUUGCCACAGGAGCCUGCUGCAUUUGGUGCAAGGGCUGAAGUUUUUUCUACGCUGUGGGCUUACACAGCCAGGAACUAGUCCCUGCCAAAGCUUCCUACCAUAUGGGAAUAAAUAAGCAAAUAAAGGUGCUGUGAAGUGUAAUUUGUUACGGGAAUGAUGAAGAAAUAAUUCCAAGCUUUAUAAGGUUAAAAAAUUUGUGUGACUGAUAUGUGGGAAUAAAAUGUCAUACAUGGGCAGUAAAAGUGCAGAUGCCCACUGUCUGUCCAGGAGGAUUACAGAGUCAUAGAAUCCUGGAUUUGGAGGGAACGUCAGGCGUUGUCUUGUUUGACAUCCUCCUCUCCAGUACUCUGAAAGGCAUCAUUCAAAGCCUGAGCUGUAUCAGAAGACAGACCUGCUCCUUUUUAGCAGAACUUCAGAGACAGAGAAACUCCACCUAUGAGUGAAAGUUCUGAAGUCCAGAGAAAGAAGGUGAUCCUUCCAGAGCUGCAGCCAGGACAGAGCGCAGACCUGGACUUCUGACACCCAGCCCCAUGACUCCAGUGCUCCCGCACACAUUCUGACACCAUACCCCUAUUCUGUUUGAAAUGAACCUUCUUGUGAUUGCUUCGGGAAAUAAUUCAAUCUGAGUUAGCUGUGGUGUGCGUCCCUUUUCCAUAAGCACUAAACUUCAGAGCUACAGUGCCCCCCAACAGAC